UACGUAGGGUGCGAGCGUUAAUCGGAAUUACUGGGCGUAAAGCGUGCGCAGGCGGCUCGUUAAGUCAGCUGUGAAAGCCCCGGGCUCAACCUGGGAAUUGCGGUUGAAACUGGCGAACUAGAAUCUGGCAGAGGGGAGUGGAAUUCCACGUGUAGCAGUGAAAUGCGUAGAGAUGUGGAGGAACACCGGUGGCGAAGGCAGCCCCCUGGGCUAAGAUUGACGCUCAGGCACGAAAGCGUGGGGAGCAAACAGG
rnacentral:rRNA from 1 species